AUUGAACGCUGGCGGCAGGCCUAACACAUGCAAGUCGAGCGGAUGAAGGGAGCUUGCUCCUGGAUUCAGCGGCGGACGGGUGAGUAAUGCCUAGGAAUCUGCCUGGUAGUGGGGGAUAACGUCCGGAAACGGGCGCUAAUACCGCAUACGUCCUGAGGGAGAAAGUGGGGGAUCUUCGGACCUCACGCUAUCAGAUGAGCCUAGGUCGGAUUAGCUAGUUGGUGGGGUAAAGGCCUACCAAGGCGACGAUCCGUAACUGGUCUGAGAGGAUGAUCAGUCACAGUGGAAAAGAGAAACGGGCCAGACUACUACGGGAGGCAGAAGUGGGGAAUAUUGAACAAGGGGUGAAAGCCGGAACCAACCAGGCCGGGGGGGGGAAGAAGGUUUUUGGAUUGUAAAGCAUUUUAAGUUGGGAGGAAGGGAAGUAAGUUAAUACCUUGCUGUUUGGAGGUUACCAACAGAAUAAACACCGGAUAAAUUCGU
rnacentral:rRNA from 1 species